CGCUAUCACUCCUACGGGAGGCAGCAGUGGGAAUAUUGCACAAUGGGGGAAACCCUGAUGCAGCCAUGCCGCGUGUGUGAAGAAGGCCUUCGGGUGUUAAAGCACUUUCAGUAGGGAGGAAGGUAGUGUAGUUAACACCUGCAUUAUUUGACGUUACCUACAGAAGAAGCACCGGCUAACUCCGUGCCAGCAGCCGCGGUAAUACGGAGGGUGCGAGCGUUAAUCGGAAUUACUGGGCGUAAAGCGCAUGCAGGCGGCCUGUUAAGUCAGAUGUGAAAGCCCGGGGCUUAACCUCGGAAUUGCAUUUGAAACUGGCAGGCUAGAGUCUUGUAGAGGGGGGUAGAAUUUCAGGUGUAGCGGUGAAAAUGCGUAGAGAUCUGAAGGAAUACCAGUGGCGAAGGCGGCCCCCUGGACAAAGACUGACGCUCAGAUGCGAAAGCGUGGGGAGCAAACAGGAUUAGAUACCCUGGUAG
rnacentral:rRNA from 1 species